CGCGUAGGUGGUUCAGUAAGAUGGAAGUGAAAUCCCCGGGCUUAACCUGGGAACUGCUUUCAUAACUGCUGAGCUAGAGUACGGUAGAGGGUAGUGGAAUUUCCUGUGUAGCGGUGAAAUGCGUAGAUAUAGGAAGGAACACCAGUGGCGAAGGCGACUACCUGGACUGAUACUGACACUGAGGUGCGAAAGCGUGGGGAGCAAACA
rnacentral:rRNA from 1 species